ensembl:lncRNA
GUCGAGUCCACUGAGUUUCGUUUUCCUUUCCUCCCUCCUCGUGAAGUUGCGCAACAUGUUUCCAUUAAAAGCCUGAGAUCUCACUGAGCCUGCUGAAAGGAGGAACAUGGCAGAGAACCGGGUGAGGGACAUGUACGAGGGAGUAAACCCAACUAAAAUGACUGAACAAGAGAAAAAAGCGCACAUAGCGAGAACUCUUCAUGAAAACCCAGAUGUUCUGUUUAGAAUAUAUUGCCAGGGCAGACUGCAUAUGGUCCUCUUGAGGCCAACUAACCCUGGGGAGUGGACGAGGGUGAUUCUGAGCAGGAUCACAACCAACCUGUCUUUUCAGAUGACUAAGAAACGUGGCGUAAACGACAUCUUCAAAAUCACCAUGUCUGGUACUCAAGAGGAGCUUGGACGUCUCUGUGAUGAUUUUGAUCGGCUCUAUGUCGAGGUCAUGACAAACAGUCAGGAUGGAGGAGCAGCAGCACAGAGGAACCCAGAGGAUGAUGUUGAGGAGCUCAGAGCGAGAAUCAAAGAGCUGGAGCUGGAGAACAAGAAGCUUCAGAAGCGGUAGAUGUCCAAUCCAAGCCCCAUAUACCUACUGCUGGUCUCCUUUCAUCACUGCAGUGGGAGUGGAUGAAAUGGCGCCAUCAGUAAGUAUUCACCACCUUUGAACUUUUCCACAUUUUCUAUUGUUAAACCCAAGACCUGAAAUGGAUUUAACUGAGAUCAUAUGUUCAGUAUUUGCCUUCC